rnacentral:rRNA from 1 species
GCAAGUUGAACGAGACGCACUAGCUUGCUAGUGCUGAGAGUGGCGAAAGGGUGAGUAACGCGUGAAUAACAUACCUUCAAGUUUGGGAUAACAGUUGGAAACGACUGCUAAUACCGGAUGUGGUUGGGUUCUUAUGGGACCUUAACUAAAGAUUUAUUGCUUGAUGAGUGGUUCGCGUCCCAUUAUGCUAGUUGGUAAGGUAACGGCUUACCAAGGCUUUGACGGGUAGGUGGUCUGAGAGGAUGGUC